rnacentral:lncRNA from 1 species
AAAUUCCCAAAAUCUGAACUUCAGUCCGGGGCUGCUCUGCUCGUCGUCGAACUAUCGAAGUCUCGUCUCUCCACCAGUCCGCCUCCUCAAGUCCACCGCCGAACGCUCCCCCCGCCAGUUCGCUCCACGCCUCCACCUCCGCUGGGGUUAGAAAUUUUAUUAGAUUGAGAAUUUUAUGGCAAAGUGGACCGCUCUCCCCGUCCGUCCGCUCCACGCCUCCACCUCCGCUGGGGUUAGAAAUUUUAUUAGAAUGAGAAUUUUAGGGCAAAGUAAAUUAUUUGUAAUCCCAUUGAAAUUGAAACUUAAUGGCUUAAAUUUACACCAUAAGCUCUCCCAUGUUCUUUGUCAUCUGGCCAACCUCAUUAUUUGUCCCGUUGAUGACUUAAACCAAUGAUACUCCCUGAACAAGUUUAAUUUUAGUAAUAGCAACUUUGUGUGUUCUUUGGGAUAUGAUUCACCCCCAUAUUGAUAUGAUAUUUGAAGGAGAUUUAUGGAUGUUUACUUUAAAUAAUAUGAAUAAGUCAAAAUGAAAUCCUGCAUGUAGGUUCUGCUUGAAGGCUAUAGCUGAUAUCACACGAGAGCUUUCUAGUUAACCGUGAAAGUAGCUUUCUACAUUUUUCCUUUUGUUUGCAAAAAUGGGAAAGUGUCCAUUGCUUAGUUUUGGAGGAGUUCUAUAAUCACGGUAGUAAUGGUUUUUUGUUCCUUUUAUAUAUCUGAAUACUGAAAAGAUUUUUGGUGCACUGUACUGGUCUUUAAUCUACACUUAGAAAGUCGUUAAAAUGUGCAUAAUUGGUUUUGUUGGAGCUUGGAAUGCACUGUACUCAUUAGUGUUGAACUGUACUGACAGUUUAUAUUUUUGCUUGUUGAAUUGCUUAGUUUCCUUAGGAGAAAGGGUUAUUCUUGAUAUGCUCAGAUGUUUCUCUAUGGACUAUAUUUGAAACACAUUAUCCAAUUGUUGCUAUCAUUUUUGUUCUUACUUGUUCUUUCUAGUUGUUUUAUUCCCCUGUAUUUAUGUUAAAGGCUUGAACUAAAAUUCAUUUUUCUCUUUUGUAGUGAGGACUUCAAAAGUUUCAGGAACACAGCUAUCUUAUUCAAGUAGAUCGAGAUGUCAUAGUCAUGGUGGGGGUCGUGCUCGGAUAAACCUUUUUGAUUGAUUUGCAAGAGUUGUCAAGGUUGUUUGGGACUGUUGGCUUCAGUCAGAAAUCAUUGAAAUGUUAUUGACUCUAUAUCAUCUGUUUUAAGUGUUGUCAUAUGAAAUCCAGAAUGAUCAAUACGCUAAUGUCAUAUGCAUAUGCAAAUCCUUUUUUUCAGAAUUUAUUUGGUUGUGUUUAAAGAAUUACAGUUUACUCACAAUCAAUGGCAGACCCUAUCCAACUAAUCCAAGUUAACAUUUUCACUUUUUCAGGCCCUUGAAGUAUAGCAGAAGCUAGAAUGGAAUAUGAGAUUCAGAUUGGAUCCCGUAUUUCAAGAAUUAGUCAAGUCAAUAGUGUAAGUUGUCGCUUUUAGACUUGUUCUACUCCCAAGUGGGCCUCUUCACAGUAAUCAAAAUUCUUUUGUUUAGACUUAAUAGAGGUUCCAAGCCAUCGUUUUCUCUGGACAAGGGAACUGCUUGGCGAAGGAACUCCACAAGGAAGAAGAUAUCUUCUUCUUGAAGUACGACUGAAGUUCUGUUGUCCCACUUGAAAAAUAAAAUGUAAAUCGAUUUAGGGACAUGAACUUUAAAAAUUGAUUGAGUGAACAAGUUGUCAUUAUGACUUAUGACUUAUGUGUUAAUGCCUAAAUAUGAUUUAAGAUGCAGUAAAAUUUCUUUAUCAACUUCUUACUCCAUUUCAGUAAAUAUACAACUUUCUUGCCUUCUCAUUCUUCUUUCUAUUAUUGUAAACUGGAUCUAUGUAUUUUCACCUCGAUUAGUUUCUUUAUCAAUUUCUGUUAUUGUAAAAUGCAAUCUCUUUACUGACCCCCAAAUCAGUCCAUCUUAUUUCAAAUGCAUAAUGGUGUUAGUUUAUGAGCCCCAAAUUUGAGAUUUUUCCUUUCUGAGAAGCUUCAUUUGGGUACUUAUUAAAUGUGCAAGAAUCUUCUAAGGAAGCUUCUUGUACUGCAUGUUGUUCUUAACUAAACCCUGGUCCUAGGAGUUAAAUCCUGCUAUGUUUCUGGCGUAAUUUUGUGCUAAUGUCCUCAUUGCUUGGAAUCAACUAUGAGCUUUUAUACCACUGUUGAUUGCUUCCCCAUUUGGUCUUGCCUUAACAAAUGUAAGCAUCCUUGUAAUUUGUCUUGUAACAGCUGAAGAAAUUGUCAUGGUAGUAUCUUGUAGCUGAUCUUGACGUUGACAUGAUCAAAAGAGACAUCGAUCUUAGUCUUCAGAGUUUUAAGAAACAAAGAAUCUUUGUUGUCGACUCCAAACCUUUUAUCUCAAUACUCUGAUUUCUUUAGUUUUGAACGUUCACCAAUUCUGAUUAAGACCUUGAGCAAGUACUAUUAAAUGGAUCAUGAUUAUCUUUUUCAAUCCAGUCAAUAUACUUCAUUAUAUGUUUCUUUAAUGUAUUGCUUAUGAUAUUGGUAGGAAAUGACAACAGAUCCCUUAAAUCAAGUGAAGCUGGGAUUUGUUAGUGGACUUGUUGGUAGAGAAAAAUUUAUGGCUUUUGAAAGAAUUCUGUUUAGAGCAACCAGGGGAAAUGUGUUUCUUAAACUAGUGGGAAUGGAAGAUCCAGUGAUUGAUCCGGUGUCAGGAGAUAAUGUAAUAAUAGAUGUUCUUUCACUAAUUCUGAAUUCUGGAUUUACGCAAUGAUGGAACUUUUGUAUAUCCCAUCAUGCAUGCUUCUUUUGAAAAUAGAAUUAUCGAAGUUCAGAAUCAAUUAUCUUCUUUUUGGUUUGUGUUGGCUUGUUGCUGAUGCAUAAUAAGAUGUAUUGUGUGAUAAACUCUAAUAUACAUGGGCAUCUAAACCAAUCUUCAACCCCUGCCUUAAAAAAAAAAAAAAAAAUUAGGAAAAAGGAGGAAAAAAAUGCUUAGUAAAAAUUAGUUUGUGUAUAUUGGAGUUUUUUGAUAUAGUUAUUUUCUUUGCUUUUCUUUUCGAUUAUAAUUGGUACAAAUGUCUAAAAUGUGGCUUAUCUUUAUCUCCAUUUUUUUAUAGGCUGGGACCGAUAUUUAAGGCAUAGGUCAUGUCGAAGAUUGUUGAGAAGAAAAUUAAGGAGGUCGAUAGGGUUGUUUCACUCACUACUUAGUGGUUUUUUUUUUUUUUUUUUUUUUGGGGAAAAUGUAUUGGAUUUUUAGGUGUUUUAGAAUUUUGGAUUUUGUACAAAUAUUGUUACAUUUUAGAGUUCAAUUAAUAAUUAUUAUUGGAG